UGUAAUAAUAAAGAAACUGCCUCGGCCCUCAUAGGACAGAAAAUUAGGUAGGCGGAGUAGACAGAGGAGAAUGCUGGGAAAAAGAAGCUGAGUGAGUGAGUCGCCAUGAUGCUCCCACUCCAGACAGACGCAGGUUAAGAUCCUCUCUGAGACAUGCUCAGCUGAUUGCCUCACCCCGGGCCCGAGGAGCAACUGAACAUCUACAGUAUGCAACUGUUGGUGGGGUCCUUGCAGAUCUUGGGUGGCUGGGUCUGAUGGCACAAUUUUCCACAGGUCAGUCAUCAAGUGGUUCUUGCAUGGAAUGAUAUAUGUGGUACCAACCCUCCCGGGAGUUCCCAGAAGAUGGAGCUGGGCAUUUCCAUGGAGCAGAAUGGGGCUUAGUAUUCCUGGAAACACCACCAAGUGGCAUCUACUCCAAGAAUGUUGGCUUUCAUCCAACUGUGGAGAACGGGCAGGCCCUGCCAUGGGUCAUUCUGAAGCCUUGGGGGCAGAGGAGUCUAAGAACCCAUGCCUUGCACAGGACGUUUCCUCCCUUUGCAAUCGCAGAGGUAACGGAUUCGGCAUGGAACACCCUUUACCCAAAGGCUGAUACUGCUGUAAGUUCUGCUUGGUCCUUCCUCACAUCUGGAGCCUUUCUGCUCCUGGAACAUGGUGUACAGAGUGUGGUAAAUGAACCAGAUGGAUACAGCUGGAAUUGAUAGAUAUUGCUGUCUAAUUGUAACUGCUGAAAAGGGGCCAUCAUGAAAAAGUUCAAGGAUGAGCUAGAUGAGUAAGGGACAAGCAGGGCCAGGGGUCCCAUCUGGUCAACAAGGACCAGUGCAUUUUCCAGUUGUUCCUGGGAGAAGACUUGAUCACUGUGGCCCCGCAGAACACGCUCACUGCUGGCAAGUGGGGCAUCUCCUCCCGCUGUGAGAACCUUCUGAAGACCUGACCGAUGUGCUGGGGGUUAAAAAAAAAAUGCUUGGACCUGAAAAGACGGCUCAGUGUUUAAGAGAAAAUACUGCUGAGUGUAGUUUCCAGCAUCCACCCACAUCAGGUGGCUCAUGACUACCUGUACCUCCAGCGCCAGAGGAUCUGCCACAUCCUCGGGCCCCCUUGGGUACCUACACAGUACACGGCAGCCACUCACACGGACAUAUGCAUGCACAAAAAUAAAAAAUAAAUCUCUAAAAAGGUAAAGAACUGAGCGAGUGACAGAAACAGAACAGCUCCUAGGAAGAGGAGUGAAUGCGGAGGAGUCUGCUCGUCGAAGUCUGACGACGCUCCAGCAUCCUUUCCUCUGCCCCGUUAUGUCCUCUAUUAAAACCGGGUAUGGUGAUGCAUGCCUGUGAUGCCAGCACUCAGGAGGAAGAAAGAGGAGAACCAGAAAUUCAAGGGCACCCUCAGCUACAUAGCCAUUUGGAAGGUAGCCUGGGCAUUUGAGACUGUUUCAAAAUUUUUCCCCCCAAGAGCUCACUACUGUAGUUUCCUGAGUAGGUGCUAUUUAUUUCUCAAUAUAUCCCUCCCUAAGUCUAAACCGACAUUUCCAAUCCUAGAGGCAGGCGAAUCUCUGUGAGUUCGAGACCAGCCUGGUCUGCAGAGCUAGUUCCACGACAGGCUCCAGAGCCACAGAGAAACCCUGUCUCAAAAAAAAAAAAAAAAAAAAAAAAAAAAAAAAAAAAAAAAAAAAAACCAAAAAAAAAAGAUUUUUUUCAUUUAUUUUUUUAUUUUUAUUUUUUUUUAUUGUGAUAUAUAUCUGCAUUCAUGCCAUGGCAUUUGUGUGGUUAGAGGACAACCUGCAGAAAUCAGUUCUGUCCUUCCAUCAUGGGCCCUCGGGAUCAAAAUCGGGUGUGCUUUGUCACCUCGACCUUUAACCUCUCACAUGUAUCUUUAGUGGGUUUUUCCCCCCCUCUCAGCACGGGUAGCUAUCCAAUGAUAUUUUCAUAGAAUCCUGGGACAGCACCACGUGUGUGCUUGUGUGUGCCACCACCUGUUACUCUAUUGCUUUCAUCUGUUUAUCAAAUGUCACUCCCUCCUUAUAACAAGCCCUGAACCGUGUACCUGUGUGUAAAUCUUUGUUAAUUACUUUCAAAGCGGGCUCUUCGAUUCAGUGCCUUUUCCCCCCCUGAAUUGUGGAGUCAGCACACCAGUUUCCUGCCGCAAUUCCCACUGCAAGGCUGUAGGUCAGCUCAGGGAACAACUGAUCGCUAAGGAACGCCAAGUCUUCCCGAACUCAAACGCAGUAUCUGCCCUUAUUUCAGACUUUUGUGAUUUCUUAACAUAUAUUUUUUUAAUUGAUUUUUAUUGGGCUCUACAUUUUUCUCUGCUCCCCUCCCCUUCAACCCUCUCUCAAGGUCCCCAUGCUCCCAAUUUACUCAGGAGAUCUUGUAAGACUUUUGUGAUAAAAAGUGUUUUAUAGUACUUUAAAUUUUCUAUUGUAUUUAAUGUCUGUGUGUGUGUGUGUGCGCGUGUGCGCGUGUGUGUAUGUAAGUCAGAGAAUAACUUGCAGGAGUUCUUCCCUUCCACUGUGGGAAUUUUGAGAGUCAAAGGUCAUCCAUCAGACUUAGCACCAAGCACCUCUCCCAGAUGAGCGAUCUCACCUUGAGCUUUCAGCAUGGUAGCCUUGUGCAUCCUUUGUCAGAUGUACUAAGGGAUUAAUUAAAAAAAAUUAAUUGAUUCUUUGUUAAUUUCUUGCAUGUUUUUGAUAAUCUGUUCCCCAAUUUCUCCACUUAUCUUCGUCAUACCCCCUCCAUCUCCUUUUCUUUCCAACAAGGCUUCGUUUUAUGUCCAUGUCUUUCUAAGGUUCAUACUGGGCUGGUUACUUUAAUGUCAGGUCGACACAAGCUAGAGUUCUCAGAGAGGAGGGGUCUCAGUUAAGAAGAUGCCUCCGCAAGAUUAGUCUAGAGGCAAGACUGUAGGGCAUUUUCUUAAUUAAUGAUUGAUAGGGAUGGGCCCAGCCCAUUGUGGGUAGUGCCAUCCCCGGUUUGGUGGUCCUGGGUUCCAUAAGAAAGCAGGCUGAGCAAGCCAUGAGGAGCACGCCAGUAAGCAGCACCCGUCCAUGGCCUCUGCAUCAGUUCCUGCCUCAAACUUCCUGCCUUGUUUGAGAUUUGGUCCUGAUUUCCUUUGAUAAUGAACUAUGAUAUGGAAGCUGAAUAAACCCUUUCCUCCCCACCCAGCUUGCUUUUUCGUCAUGGUGUC